rnacentral:rRNA from 1 species
AACGAACGCUGGCGGCAGGCUUAACACAUGCAAGUCGAACGCAUCCUUCGGGGUGAGUGGCAGACGGGUGAGUAACGCGUGGGAACGUGCCCUUCAGUUCGGGAUAACCCAGGGAAACUUGGGCUAAUACCGGAUACGUGCGAGAGCAGAAAGAUUUAUCGCUGAAGGAUCGGCCCGCGUCUGAUUAGCUAGUUGGUGGGGUAAUGGCCCACCAAGGCGACGAUCAGUAGCUGGUCUGAGAGGAUGAUCAGCCACACUGGGACUGAGACACGGCCCAGACUCCUACGGGAGGCAGCGGUGGGGAAUAUUGGACAAGGGGCGCAAGCCUGAUCCAGCCAUGCCGCGUGAGUGAUGAAGGCCUUAGGGUUGUAAAGCUCUUUCAGUGGGGACGAUAAUGACGGUACCCGCAGAAGAAGCCCCGGCUAACUUCGUGCCAGCCGCCGCAGUAA